rnacentral:rRNA from 1 species
AGGAAAGUAGGGGAUCGCAAGACCUUGCGCUUUUGGAGCGGCCGAUGUCUGAUUAGCUAGUUGGUGAGGUAAAGGCUUACCAAGGCUUCGAUCAGUAGCUGGUCUGAGAGGACGACCAGCCACACUGGGACUGAGACACGGCCCAGACUCCUACGGGAGGCAGCAGUGGGGAAUUUUGGACAAUGGGGGAAACCCUGAUCCAGCCAUGCCGCGUGAGUGAAGAAGGCCUUCGGGUUGUAAAGCUCUUUCAGCCGGAACGAAAAGGUUACGGUUAAUACCCGUGACUAAUGACGGUACCGGAAGAAGAAGCACCGGCUAACUACGUGCCAGCAGCCGCGGUAAUACGUAGGGUGCGAGCGUUAAUCGGAAUUACUGGGCGUAAAGCGUGCGCAGGCGGUUUUGUAAGUCAGAUGUGAAAUNCCCCGGGCUCAACCUGGGAACUGCGUUUGAAACUACAAAGCU